ACACACUACUCUUAGGUUUGCCACCUGACUGGUAUUUUCAGGCACAGCCGGUAUUUGAGGCUGCCUGGCCAUGAUGGUAUUGCAGUAAUACCGGCAAUACAAAUGCAAAUAUUUUUUUCAGUAAAAAAGAGAUUACUCUGCAAUACCAGCACCGGCCAGUAGGGGUCACUAUGUAUGGAGAGAGGCAGGGAUAGGAAGUUAUAGCAUAUGCCUCCCUGCCUCUCUCUACUCACUGAUACGCAGGGGAGCAGCUGCACAGCACAGAGAGUUCAGACAGCAGCUCCCAGCCAGCAGAGACAGACUACAGCUCAGGGAAGUGAGGGAUGAGGGGAAAGGCAGCAGGGAGACAUGGGGACACUGAGUCACUCGGGGACACAUGGAGAUACUGA